UUCUCCCUUUCUCUGGUCGGCGCCGCCACCCCUCUCCUCGCCGCGCCGCAAGCUGCACUCAUCGGGCGCGGCACCGACGGGGACGGCCGACGCCGCUUUCCCUCACCACAGCAGACACGUCUCCCCUGGUUUCUCACCGAAUGACAUGAGUAGAGCCCUGCCGUCGCAAGAAUGGACAAGGAAAAGGGGAAGAAGAGGAGCUUGGUUUCCAUUAUGAAGACUAAGCCGCUGUCCUGGCCUUCCGGGAAGCAAAAGGGGAAGGGCUACUGCAUCACUGCCGAGGAAGCGGGCGAAACAUUACAACAAUGUCCCGCUCGCUGAGUUGAUGUUUAGGGCAAUGAAGCAUGAUAAGCAAGCGGAGGAGGAUGAUGAAGAAGAGGACAAGGAUGAUCAAGAUACUCUGUUUGAGGAGGAAGAUUCUCAUUUUGAUGUCAAACCGCUAAGUG